UCUACAUAGGGAGGAAGCAGGAGGAAGGAGAGAGAGAAAGAAGAGAGUAAGGAAGAGAUCGAGAGUCAGCUUUAUAUGACUCCGGGAAACCGGCCAAGUGUCCUUAAGAUUCUGGGGGUGCACGACACCCCUGAUCACCACUGUAUCACCACUGAGCCAUACAGGACCUUCAACUUGGGCACUGUGCUUCUCCUUACCAAUAGGGGUCUCUGCUGGAGAUCCCUGAUGGUGCUCUGUGCUAGCUCCAGCUGAGCUGUGGCCUCUUCGCUCUGCUGCCUGACCGUGGCCAGCUCCCGCAUGACCAGCAAAAUGGCAGCCCUGCCACUUAUUUUGGUCUACAGUUGAGGGAUGGGGAUGCACCUUUAACUGGACUCACCUCUAACAUGAAGAUAUCAAAGAUCCUGGUGGCA